rnacentral:rRNA from 1 species
AGAGUUUGAUCCUGGCUCAGGAUGAACGCUGGCGGCGCGCCUAACACAUGCAAGUCGAACGGCACCUGCCCUCGGGCAGAAGCGAGUGGCGAACGGCUGAGUAACACGUGGAGAACCUGCCCCCUCCCCCGGGAUAGCCGCCCGAAAGGACGGGUAAUACCGGAUACCCCGGGGUGCCGCAUGGCACCCCGGCUAAAGCCCCGACGGGAGGGGAUGGCUCCGCGGCCCAUCAGGUAGACGGCGGGGUGACGGCCCACCGUGCCGACAACGGGUAGCCGGGUUGAGAGACCGACCGGCCAGAUUGGGACUGAGACACGGCCCAGACUCCUACGGGAGGCAGCAGUGGGGAAUCUUGCGCAAUGGGGGGAACCCUGACGCAGCGACGCCGCAUGCGGGACGGAGGCCUUCGGGUCGUAAACCGCUUUCAGCAGGGAAGAGUCAAGACUGUACCUGCAGAAGAAGCCCCGGCUAACUACGUUGCCAGCAGCCGCGGUAAUACGUAGGGGGCGAGCGUUUAUCCGGAUUCAUUGGGCGUAAAGCGCGCGUAGGCGGCCCGGCAGGCCGGGGGUCGAAGCGGGGGGCUCAACCCCCCGAAGCCCCCGGAACCUCCGCGGCUUGGGUCCGGUAGGGGAGGGUGGAACACCCGGUGUAGCGGUGGAAUGCGCAGAUAUCGGGUGGAACACCGGUGGCGAAGGCGGCCCUCUGGGCCGAGACCGACGCUGAGGCGCGAAAGCUGGGGGAGCGAACAGGAUUAGAUACCCUGGUAGUCCCAGCCGUAAACGAUGGACGCUAGGUGUGGGGGGACGAUCCCCCCGUGCCGCAGCCAACGCAUUAAGCGUCCCGCCUGGGGAGUACGGCCGCAAGGCUAAAACUCAAAGGAAUUGACGGGGGCCCGCACAAGCAGCGGAGCAUGUGGCUUAAUUCGAAGCAACGCGAAGAACCUUACCAGGGCUUGACAUAUGGGUGAAGCGGGGGAGACCCCGUGGCCGAGAGGAGCCCAUACAGGUGGUGCAUGGCUGUCGUCAGCUCGUGUCGUGAGAUGUUGGGUUAAGUCCCGCAACGAGCGCAACCCCCGCCGCGUGUUGCCAUCGGGUGAUGCCGGGAACCCACGCGGGACCGCCGCCGUCAAGGCGGAGGAGGGCGGGGACGACGUCAAGUCAUCAUGCCCCUUAUGCCCUGGGCUGCACACGUGCUACAAUGGCCGGUACAGAGGGAUGCCACCCCGCGAGGGGGAGCGGAUCCCGGAAAGCCGGCCCCAGUUCGGAUUGGGGGCUGCAACCCGCCCCCAUGAAGUCGGAGUUGCUAGUAAUCGCGGAUCAGCAUGCCGCGGUGAAUGCGUUCCCGGGCCUUGCACUCACCGCCCGUCA